AGCAAUACUCCACUGAUACGGGAAUGGAUCCGAAGCCUCCAGAAGGCUAACAUAGGCUCUCCUUUCCCUACUCCUGCUCAAUACGUCCUCGUCGUACAGAACGGUAACAUGCCUCUCAAUUAUCCAAGCUUGGGUAC
rnacentral:ribozyme from 1 species